UACAGAGGUCCCAAGCGUUGUUCGGAUUUACUGGGCGUAAAGGGCGCGUAGGCGGCGCGGUAAGUCACUUGUGAAAUCUCUGAGCUUAACUCAGAACGGCCAAGUGAUACUGCAGUGCUAGAGUGCAGAAGGGGCAAUCGGAAUUCUUGGUGUAGCGGUGAAAUGCGUAGAUAUCAAGAGGAACACCUGAGGUGAAGACGGGUUGCUGGGCUGACACUGACGCUGAGUGCGCGAAAGCCAGGGGAGCAAACAGG
rnacentral:rRNA from 1 species